UCCAGACUCCUACGGGAGGCAGCAGUGGGGAAUAUUGCACAAUGGGGGAAACCCUGAUGCAGCGACGCCGCGUGAGCGAUGAAGUAUUUCGGUAUGUAAAGCUCUAUCAGCAGGGAAGAAGAUGACGGUACCUGACUAAGAAGCCACGGCUAACUACGUGCCAGCAGCCGCGGUAAUACGUAGGUGGCAAGCGUUAUCCGGAUUUACUGGGUGUAAAGGGCGUGUAGGCGGGGACGCAAGUCAGAUGUGAAAACCAUGGGCUCAACCUGUGGCCUGCAUUUGAAACUGUGUUUCUUGAGUACUGGAGAGGCAGACGGAAUUCCUAGUGUAGCGGUGAAAUGCGUAGAUAUCAGGAGGAACACCGGCGGCGAAGGCGGCCUGCUGGACUGAAACUGACGUUGAGGCUCGAAAGCGUGGGGAGCAAACAGGAUUAGAUACCCGCGUAA
rnacentral:rRNA from 1 species